rnacentral:piRNA from 1 species
UGACCUUUAUGUUUUGGUAUGAACACGGA